GCCGGGCGCAGAGGUGGGUGCCUGUAAUCCCAGCUACUUGGGAGGCUGAGGUGGGAGAAUCACUUGAGCCUGGGAGGCGGAGGUUGCAGUGAGCAGAAACCAUGCCACUGCGCUCUACCCUGGGUGACAGAGUGAGACCCCUUAUCAU
rnacentral:SRP_RNA from 2 species